AGAGCGAACGCUGGCGGCAGGCUUAACACAUGCAAGUCGAGCGGGCACUUCGGUGUCAGCGGCAGACGGGUGAGUAACGCGUGGGAACAUACCUUUUGGUUCGGAACAACACAGGGAAACUUGUGCUAAUACCGGAUAAGCCCUUACGGGGAAAGAUUUAUCGCCGAAAGAUUGGCCCGCGUCUGAUUAGCUUGUUGGUGAGGUAACGGCUCACCAAGGCGACGAUCAGUAGCUGGUCUGAGAGGAUGAUCAGCCACAUUGGGACUGAGACACGGCCCAAACUCCUACGGGAGGCAGCAGUGGGAUAUUGGACAAUGGGGGCAACCCUGAUCCAGCCAUGCCGCGUGAGUGAUGAAGGCCCUAGGGUUGUAAAGCUCUUUUAACGGGGAAGAUAAUGACGGUACCCGUAGAAUAAGCCCCGGCUAACUUCGCGCCAGCAGCCGC
rnacentral:rRNA from 1 species